rnacentral:rRNA from 1 species
UACGUAGGCAGCAAGCGUUGUUCGGAAUUACUGGGCGUAAAGGGUGCGUAGGCGGCUUUUUAAGUUUGGUGUGAAAUCUCCCGGCUCAACUGGGAGGGUGCGCCGAAUACUGAGAAGCUAGAGUGUGGGAGAGGAAAGUGGAAUUCCUGGUGUAGCGGUGAAAUGCGUAGAUAUCAGGAGGAACACCGGUGGCGAAGGCGGUUCUCUGGGCAUGUCCUGACGCUGGAGGAGCGAAAGUGUGGGGAGCGAACAGG